GAGCUGUGAAGAAAUUUGCAUUAUGCGGUGAUUAGGGUCUCCGCAAUUGUCUGAUUAGAUGAUUAAAUAGCGCAUCUGAGCUC
rfam:Solanum tuberosum cultivar DM 1-3 516 R44 scf00076_51, whole genome shotgun sequence.